UACGGGGGGGAGCAAGCGUUGUUCGGAUUUACUGGGCGUAAAGGGCGGGUAGGCGGCCACCGCAAGUCGACUGUGAAAUCUCCGGGCUUAACCCGGAAAGGUCAGCCGAUACUGCGGGGCUAGAGUGCAGAAGGGGCAACUGGAAUUCUCGGUGUAGCGGUGAAAAUGCGUAGAUAUCGAGAGGAACACCUGCGGCGAAGGCGGGUUGCUGGGCUGACACUGACGCUGAACUGCGAAAGCUAGGGGAGCGAACGGG
rnacentral:rRNA from 1 species